rnacentral:misc_RNA from 1 species
GUUGACAAGGCGAAAGUUGAAAUCAUUGAAAAGAUGCUACCACCAACAUCAGUCAAAGGAGUACGAAGCUUUUUGAGACAUGCAGGCUUCUACAGAAGAUUCAUUAAAGAUUUUUCCAAAAUAGCUAAGCCACUUACCAACCUGUUAAGUCAAGAUGUUCCCUUUCAUUUUGAUAAAAAUUGCCUUGUUUCUUUUAACAGGAUCAAAGAAGCCCUGAUCUCAGCACCAAUAAUGC